rnacentral:rRNA from 1 species
AUUGAACGCUGGCGGCAGGCUUAACACAUGCAAGUCGAGCGGUAGCACAGGGGAGCUUGCUCCCUGGGUGACGAGCGGCGGACGGGUGAGUAAUGUCUGGGAAACUGCCUGAUGGAGGGGGAUAACUACUGGAAACGGUAGCUAAUACCGCAUAACGUCGCAAGACCAAAGAGGGGGACCUUCGGGCCUCUUGCCAUCAGAUGUGCCCAGAUGGGAUUAGCUAGUAGGUGGGGUAAUGGCUCACCUAGGCGACGAUCCCUAGCUGGUCUGAGAGGAUGACCAGCCACACUGGAACUGAGACACGGUCCAGACUCCUACGGGAGGCAGCAGUGGGGAAUAUUGCACAAUGGGCGCAAGCCUGAUGCAGCCAUGCCGCGUGUGUGAAGAAGGCCUUCGGGUUGUAAAGCACCUUCAGCGAGGAGGAAGGUGGUGAGCUUAAUACGUUCAUCAAUUGACGUUACUCGCAGAAGAAGCACCGGCUAACUCCGUG